rnacentral:lncRNA from 1 species
UAGGAAAAUAAAAAAAUUAAAAUCAAUCCAGAUCAAGAAUAAGAAAAAAAAACACAAAUUAAAAUCAAACCCAACUCAUUCAUCUGCUCAAAUAACUACAAGACCUCAUCUCCAUUGGUGUUAUUUGCUUAGUUGUACAUCAUUAACAAGAAUCCAUAUUCUUGUUGGGCAUAUGAUCAAACACCCUACACCCAUGGCAAUUUUGCAAACAACAACACCAACCACAACCAUGGUAGUCUCAUCAAAGAUUUCCCUCCCAGCAACACCAACCACAAGCAUGGUAACAACAACCUCAAUGUUUCAACCACAGACCCAUCACCCUAACCCUCCUCCUUUCAAUCAAUUUUUUUCCAUAACCAUCAACCUCACCAACACAAUGUUACGAAUACAGAGACGAAGCAGACCUCACAGUUGCAGGAAAGAUCAUAACAACGGUGGCGAUGACCAAGGAGUAAGAGACUAAGAUGAUGACUGUUUGGCAAGCACAGGGGAGGAACGAAAAAUGGUGUUGUUGAGGGAUGAGAAAAGAUGGUGGUGGAGGAGUGGCCAGAGGUGAAGGAGCGAUGGGAAUCCAACAAGACGCUAGUGUAGGAGGGGGUGACAUUCGUGAAGUUGGAUUGUGACAAGAAAAGAAAAGAAAAACAUAUUUGAUGAACAAAAUCAAUUGAAUAACAGAUCUAUAAGGC